rnacentral:Y_RNA from 1 species
GGCUGGUCCAAAGGUAGUGAGUUAUCUCGAUUGUUCACAGUCAGUUACAGAUCAAACUCCUUGUUCUACUCUUUCCCCCCUUCUCUACUGCACUUGAAUAGUCUAAA